AUUGAACGCUGGCGGCAGGCCUAACACAUGCAAGUCGAACGAGUGGCGGACGGGUGAGUAAUGUGUGGGAAAUUGCCCGAUGGAGGGGGAUAAUUCGGGGACACGGUAGCUAAUACUGCAUCCCAUCGGCUGUUCCACGAUGGGAUUAGCUAGUAGGUGGGGUAAAGGCUCACCUAGGCGACGAUCCCUAGCUGGUCUUAGAGGAUGACCAGCCACACUGGAACUGAGACACGGUCCAGACUCCUACGGGAGGCAGCAGUGGGGAAUAUUGCACAAUGGGCGCAAGCCUGAUGCAGCCAUGCCGCGUGUAUGAAGAAGGCCUUCGGGUUGUAAAGUACUUUCAGCGAGGAGGCGUUACUCGCAGAAGAAGCACCGGCUAACUCCGUGCCAGCAGCCGCGGUAAUAC
rnacentral:rRNA from 1 species